GUCUAAAAUAAAACAGUUGUGCUAAUACAAACAAUUUGAAGGCAAAAUGUAUAAACAUUGAAAAAAGUUGACAAAUUUAUGAUAAAUCUGGCUUAGGAUUUUGUAUACACGUUUGGAGUGAUUGUUUACAAGGAGAAAUUUAUCAAGCAUGAAAUCAGACUAUGAUUGUUGCAAAAUAAUUUCUGACAAAAUCUAAUCAAUAUUAAAUAUUAUAGAAUAUUAUAAACAUGUUCACAUAAAAUCAAUAGAAAUAGUUAGUAUUGGAAUAAAGGAAUAAGUGGAAGAAAUGAAAUAACUAUGAAACACUGUUCCAGGUUAGGGGAGGGUUGAGGGCUCAUAAAUAUGUUUAACCCCGCCAAAUUCUGUAUGUGCCUGUCCAAAGUCAGGAGCCUGUAGUUCAGUGGUUGUCGUUGGUUUAAACCUGUCAUAUUUGUUUUUCAUAAAUUGUUUUGUCAUAAAUUGAGUCGUAAGUUUUCUCAAUUGAAUUGUUUCAUAUUUGUCAUGUUGGAGCCUUUUAUAGCCGACUUUACGGUAUUGUUUUUUCUCAUUGUUGAAGCCCGUACAGUUGCCUAUAAUUGCUUACCUCCACUUUAUUUGAAAUUUGGUGGAUAGUUGUUUAAUUAACAAUCAUAUCAUAUCUCCUUAUUUUUAUAUACAAAUUUUGAUAUUGGCGAUGAAAGGAAAAAUGAUUAAAUUUUGUAAAACUGACAAUGAAUAUUGAAAUUUAAAUUUUACACACUCGACUCCUUCAAAUUAUUAACAGACGUACAACAU
rnacentral:lncRNA from 1 species